rnacentral:rRNA from 1 species
UGGGGAAUAUUGGACAAUGGGCGAAAGCCUGAUCCAGCCAUGCCGCGUGUGUGAAGAAGGUCUUCGGAUUGUAAAGCACUUUAAGUUGGGAGGAAGGGCAUUAACCUAAUACGUUAGUGUUUUGACGUUACCGACAGAAUAAGCACCGGCUAACUCUGUGCCAGCAGCCGCGGUAAUACAGAGGGUGCAAGCGUUAAUCGGAAUUACUGGGCGUAAAGCGCGCGUAGGUGGUUAGUUAAGUUGGAUGUGAAAUCCCCGGGCUCAACCUGGGAACUGCAUUCAAAACUGACUGACUAGAGUAUGGUAGAGGGUGGUGGAAUUUCCUGUGUAGCGGUGAAAUGCGUAGAUAUAGGAAGGAACACCAGUGGCGAAGGCGACCACCUGGACUAAUACUGACACUGAGGUGCGAAAGCGUGGGGAGCAAACA